GUGCUUUGUGAGGUAGGACUGUCCGUUCUUUCCCAGAACUAUGGAUUGUUACAACUUUGAGUGAAAAGUGUUCAGUUUACAGUUUCCAUUGUUGAGAAACUAUCGGAUAGUUUCACUUGUGGUUUGUGACGUGUUUUGUUGGUUUAGUGAGUGAAGUGCACUGGAUUUUGUUGGUGUGUUGCGGCAAUUUUUUGCUGUGGAACUAAAUAAAGAUCCCGCACGGAGCUAAUGAUACAGGCUACAAGAUGAAGUGAGGCAGUAUGGAGGACGACGCUGAGGCAGCGGUAGGCCCGGACGACGGAUAUCUCCUGGUACGCAUCCAUGUCCCAG